AUUGAACGCUGGCGGCAGGCUUAACACAUGCAAGUCGAGCGGGGUGAUGGUGCUUGCACUAUCACUUAGCGGCGGACGGGUGAGUAAUGCUUAGGAAUCUGCCGAUUAGUGGGGGACAACAUCUCGAUAGGGAUGCUAAUACCGCAUACGUCCUACGGGAGAAAGCAGGGGAUCACUGGUGACCUUGCGCUAAUAGAUGAGCCUAAGGCGGAUUAGCUAGUUGGGGGGGUAAAGGCCUACCAAGGCGACGAUCUGUAGCGGGUCUGAGAGGAUGAUCCGCCACACUGGGACUGAGACACGGCCCAGACUCCUACGGGAGGAAGCAGUGGGGAAUAUUGGACAAUGGGGGGAACCCUGAUCCAGCCAUGCCGCGUGUGUGAAGAAGGCCUUAUGGUUGUAAAGCACCUUAAGCGAGGAGGAGGCUCUUUUGGUUAAUACCCAAGAUGAGUGGACGUUACUCGCAGAAUAAGCACCGGCUAACUCUGUGCCAGCCGCCGCCGUAA
rnacentral:rRNA from 1 species